CGCGUAGGCGGGAAGGCAAGUCAGAUGUGAAAUUCCGAAGCUCAACUUCGGAGCUGCAUUUGAAACUACCAUUCUAGAGGGUCGACGGAGAAAACGGAAUUCCACGUGUAGCGGUGAAAUGCGUAGAUAUGUGGAAGAACACCUGUGGCGAAAGCGGUUUUCUAGUUGACAUCUGACGCUGAGGCGCGAGAGCAAGGGGAGCAAAACA
rnacentral:rRNA from 1 species